GUGUCCAUGGAAUGUAUCCACACUACUCUUACAAGGUGGAAGUUACAGGUUCAAGUCCUGUUGUGCCCAUCA
rnacentral:tRNA from 1 species